rnacentral:rRNA from 1 species
GACGAACGCUGGCGGCGUGCUUAACACAUGCAAGUCGAACGGUGAAGCGCCUUCCUUUUUGGUGGGUGUGGAUGAGUGGCGAACGGGUGAGUAACACGUGAGUAACCUGCCCCCUUCUUCUGGAUAACCGCAUGAAAGUGUGGCUAAUACGGGAUAUUCUGGGUCUGUCGCAUGAUGGGUCUGGGAAAGAUAUUGUUUCGGUGGGGGAUGGGCUCGCGGCCUAUCAGCUUGUUGGUGGGGUGACGGCCUACCAAGGCGGUGACGGGUAGCCGGCCUGGGAGGGUGGACGGUCACACUGGGACUGAGACACGGCCCAGACUCCUACGGGAGGCAGCAGUGGGGAAUAUUGCACGAUGGGCGCAAGCCUGAUGCAGCGACGCCGCGUGAGGGAUGGAGGCCUUCGGGUUGUGAACCUCUUUCGCCAGUGAAGCAGGCCUGCCUCGUUUGUGGGUGGGUUGACGGUAGCUGGAUAAGAAGCGCCGGCUAACUACGUG